GACGAACGCUGGCGGCGUGCUUAACACAUGCAAGUCGAACGGAAAGGCCCUGCUUUUGUGGGGUGCUCGAGUGGCGAACGGGUGAGUAAAACGUGAGUAAACUGCCCUUGACUUUGGGAUAACUUCAGGAAACUGGGGCUAAUACCGGAUAGGAGCUCCUGCUGCAUGGUGGGGGUUGGAAAGUUUCGGCGGUUGGGGAUGGACUCGCGGCUUAUCAGCUUGUUGGUGGGGUAGUGGCUUACCAAGGCUGUGACGGGUAGCCGGCCUGAGAGGUUGAACGGCGACAUUGGGACUGAGAUACGGAGCAGACUCCUACGGGAGGCAGUAGUGGGGAAUAUUGCACAAUGGGCGGAAGUCUGAUGCAGCAACGCUGCGUGCGUGAUGACGUCCUUCGGGUUGUAAACCGCUUUGGCCUGUGACGAAGCGUGAGUGACGGUAAUGGGUAAAGAAGCACCGGCUAACUACGUG
rnacentral:rRNA from 1 species